UCUCUCUCUCUAUGAUACUGUAUGGGCGGCAGCCCCCCAAAAUAUUCCCAAGGGGCCUGUGGUGGCCCCCCUCCUUCCUACCCCUUUGUGCCCUCCUUCCUCACCCCGGCAUGCCCCCUAUCGCCCUUGCACCCAAUCCCACCCCUCUUACCUUUCACUCCUGGCCCCGGGCUGGGGGGAGGAAUCCGAGGGUCUGAAACCAAAGGGAAAGUCAAGGGAAGCCCCUAAAACAAAAAGUGAAACUUCUGCCGAGCUCCCGCAGCCGGGCUGGUGCCUCCCCCUCUGCCCCCGGGCUCCCGGGCUUUGCCCAGAGCGCUGCAGGCUGACGUCAAGGGCCCAAAUUCCUGACUUUCCCCGAAGGCAGAUUUGUCCAUGUAAGGAAUGUAAGCAGUUGUGCGCAAAGCCAGGCAUGUGCUUAAAUCUUUGCAGGAUUUGGGGCCUCAGUUUUUUACACGGAGAGACACAUUCAACUUAAAGCAGCAAGAUGAACAGUCACAGCUUGUUGGAAGAACAACAAAAAAAGCACCAGAAUUCCUACGUUGGCUCUGGAAAACAUUGGAUGUGUUGUCAGCGGAGAAAAUUACCUAUUUCCCUUGGACUCUGGCUGAGGCACCUCCUGAGAACAGCCCUGCAUGCUGGGUUACUCGGACAUUGUUUCCUUUGGGAGAAUCUGUCUGUCAAGAACCGCUGGGACAUCCCUUUUAAAGCCUAACACCGUCACAUGUUCUUUGCCUGGGGGAUUGUUAUAACGGAUACACCG